UGCAAGUCGUACGAGAGUUUUUAACUCUAGUGGCGGACGGGUGAGUAACACGUGAGAAUUUGCCUUUAGGAGGGGGACAACAAUUGGAAACGAAUGCUAAUACCCCAUAUGCUUUCGAGUAAAAUGGAUUUUAUCUGCCUAAAGAGAAGCUCGCGGCUGAUUAGCUUGUUGGUAAGGUAAAAGCUUACCAAGGCGACGAUCAGUAUCUGGUUUGAGAGGACGAUCAGACACACUGGAACUGAGACACGGUCCAGACUCCUACGGGAGGCAGCAGUGGGGAAUUUUCCGCAAUGGGCGAAAGCCUGACGGAGCAAUACCGCGUGAGGGAAGACUGCCUAUGGGUUGUAAACCUCUUUUUUCAGGGAGGAAUUCAUGACGUGUACCUGAAGAAUAAGCAUCGGCUAACUCCGUGCCGGCAGCCGCGGUAAGACGGAGGAUGCAAGUGUUAUCCGGAAUCACUGGGCGUAAAGCGUCUGUAGGUGGUUUAACAAGUCAACUGUUAAAUCUUGAAGCUCAACUUCAAAAUCGCAGUCGAAACUAUUAGACUAGAGUAUAGUAGAGGUAAAGGGAAUUUCCAGUGGAGCGGUGAAAUGCGUAGAGAUUGGAAAGAACACCGAUGGCGAAAGCACUUUACUGGGCUAUUACUGACACUGAGAGACGAAAGCUAGGGUAGCAAAUGGGAUUAGAUACCCCAGUAGUC
rnacentral:rRNA from 1 species